rnacentral:rRNA from 1 species
GUAGUCAUAUGCUUGUCUCAAAGAUUAAGCCAUGCAUGUCUCAGUACAAGCCAAAUUAAGGUGAAACCGCGAAAGGCUCAUUAAAUCAGUUAUGGUUCCUUAGAUCGUACCCACAUUUACUUGGAUAACUGUGGUAAUUCUAGAGCUAAUACAUGCAAACAGAGCUCCGACCGGAGACGGAAGGAGUGCUUUUAUUAGAUCAAAACCAAUCGGCGGCAAUUUAGUUUCCACUUUAUUGUUCGUCGCACUUUUUGGUGACUCUGAAUAACUUUUGGCUGAUCGCACGGUCUCGCACCGGCGACGCAUCUUUCAAAUGUCUGCCUUAUCAACUGUCGAUGGUAGGUUCUGCGCCUACCAUGGUUGUAACGGGUAACGGGGAAUUAGGGUUCGAUUCCGGAGAGGGAGCCUGAGAAACGGCUACCACAUCCAAGGAAGGCAGCAGGCGCGCAAAUUACCCACUCCCGGCACGGGGAGGUAGUGACGAAAAAUAACGAUACGGGACUCAUCCGAGGCCCCGUAAUCGGAAUGAGUACACUUUAAAUCCUUUAACAAGGACCAAUUGGAGGGUAAGUCUGGUGCCAGCAGCCGCGGUAAUUCCAGCUCCAAUAGCGUAUA